GGGUCAGUAGGUUGGCCGUGCCACUGGUAUGCACUGGCCUUACUGAUUCCUCCUUCUUGAAGAACUGUGAUGUCAUUUACUUGGUGUUGCAGGGAAACAGGACUGUUACUUUGAAAAAAUUAGAGUGUUUAAAGCAGGCUAACGCUUGAAUACAUUAGCAUGGAAUAAUAAAAUAGGACGUAACGAUCCUAUUUUGUUGGUUUCUAGGAUCAACGUA
rnacentral:rRNA from 1 species